rnacentral:misc_RNA from 1 species
GUUAAAUUGAAGGUUUCAUAGACGGUACAGAACAUACAGGCUCAGAACAUAGUAAAGUAAUAAACACAGGAUAGGUAAUAGAAAUAAUAGAAAAGAAUGGCAAGCGAAAACAUGUCGACAAGUACACCUUGAAGUUUGGUCUUUUGAUGACUCGUAAUCACCUUCCAAGCAAUGAAACCUUAGAUAACUUUUAUCUUACAUAUAAAGUAUAUUUAUAACAAACAUAGAUGAAAAUUCUUACUUUCUACUUUUGUUACAGAGAAGAACACAAGAUUCAGGAAUCUACAAAAGAAACCAAAAGUGCUAAAAUCAACGCAAAAUUAUCAAUACGUAUUUAACCUUUGAACGAAGGACCUUAUCAUAAAUCAGGAUUAGCUAAAGUCAAGAAUAAAAUGCACAACAUCAAAGUUAUUUGCAGACAAAUAAAUAUAAAAUUUUGUUCAUAUUUCCCUGAGAAUCAUAUUUUUUAAUGUGGAUUAUACAAUUUUAUACUAUGAUAAAUAUUUUAUUUUAU